rnacentral:lncRNA from 1 species
AAAGUCCUGGGGCCCAAAGAAAGUUCAUCUAAUUCCACAGGUUAAAAACCCUGAAAAUGAAAACAUGACUAUUCUUCAGUUUGGAGUGGCUGAACUGUGAAGUAAAUUAACUACUGUUCAACAUCUAGCACUGGGGAGGAAGACACACUUUUAACAGGGAAGCGCCUGAGGAAAGAUACAGGUGUUUGAGGCUGGAAGGGAUCCUGAGAGGUCAUCACCCUGCCUUAAGGCAGAGUGAAUCUAAAGUCUCCUAGAGGAAAAUGAUGAAGAAUUUAAGAAUUCCACUACUCUUCUGCAGGACCACCCUCCUCAAUCCCCUGUUCCUGCUCCUCCAAACCAAAUCCAUCUUAGUAAGAGGACUCCUAGGAGACAGAACAAUAUCUGGAAAUAAGGAGAAACUAAGGAAUAUUCCUGGAAAGAAAGAAAGAAAAGAUCAUUUAUCCAGGAAUUUAUUGAAUUGGAGAGAGAGUGGGCUGCUGUCUUCCUAUAGCUUUGUAACUAGGAUUCCAGAUGGAGUAGGUGCAUCUCUUUUCCCUUUGAGCUGGAGAAAGGGAAAAACUGCAAAGUGGAAUCAUGCGUGUGGGGGCAUCUUUCAGGAUAGAGGACGACUCAAAUCUUUCAUGUGUUGAAAAGUGCCACAUGUUUUCAAAAGGGGCUUUUCCUGUUCUCAAUAUAACCAUUCUGGGCAAUUGCACAUAAUUGUAAUGAAUAGAAAUAGAAAACUCACAGAUGGAAGAAAUUCUAGAGCUGGCUGGCUAGCAUGGGAGCAAGAGCCUCCCUCGGAGUGUGAAAUGAUGCUAAGUAUAUUAGUUUCCUCAGGCUGCCAUAACAAAGUGCCACACUUCCGGUGGCUUAAUAUAACAGAAAAUUAUUUUCUCACAGUACUGAAAGCUGAAAGUCCAGGAAUCACAGUCUCAGCAAGGCUCUGCUUCUGCUGUGAUUCAGGGUAGAAUUAUUCCUUGUCUCUUCCUGGCUUCUGGUAGGGGCCAUCGGUGCUCGGUACUCCUUGGUUAGUAGCUGUAGUCACCAGUCUCUGCUUCUGUUGUCACACAGUGCUCUCCCUUGUGUGUCUCUGUCUUCACCUGGCUGUCUGCCCUCUGACAUUCUGUCCCCUCUUCUUAUAACAACAUAGUCAUAUUGGAUUAAGGACCCACCCUACUCUAGUAUGACUCUGUCUUAACUAUUACACCUGCCAUGAGCCUAUUUCUAAAGAAGGUUGCCUUCUGAGGUGCUAGGGGUAAACUUCAAUACAUCAUUUUGGAACACAGAGUUCAAUCCAUAACACUGGGUAAAUAAAAGUUUUGGUCAAAU